CGAAUGUGUUGGUGAUCAUGCGGCGUGCGAUCGAUCGACCAAUCGCAUCUAGGGGCUCGCUCUCUCCAGCCAAUCAGCGGCAGGUAGUCAGUUAGUGGCAGCGUGAUCAUCAGCGUGCUGUUCACGUGCUCUCUGUAUGACUGACUAUAACUGAGGUCGUGAUCGUGACGUCAGUCUGCGUGGUUGAGUGAUCGAUACGUCAUGGCAUUCAUGGCGCGCCCCAUACCUUAAUAUUAAUAUAAAUACGUACGGAUGAAUUUUUUAUUUGUAAUCAUCACCACUCGGUUGAGUAACCAAAACAAGAAGAGUACAACCAACCCUACUGAACUGUAUAAAUAUACUACUUACAUAUUUCGAUGACAUAAAUGAAAUGAUUUCGUCUCGAUCUUCAUACUAAAUAUCUGAUGAUGUCCAUGUUUAAUUUUAGAACAUGCUUUGUAUUUUGUAUCCUUAUUAUUAUAUUACGGAGCUUAAUGCUGCUUAGUAAAGAAUAUUAGGUCAUAUUUGUUGACGAGCCCCCGAAAUUCAUUUAUCAAAACGUCAAUAAUAUGUAUAGUAUAACAAAACAGAUAGCUAUAUGCAGUGUCAAUGCAGAUGAAGUACAGUUGGUAUUUUUUACUACAUCUCGGCGUGACGACAUAAUAAAUUUAUUCAACGGCUAUAGAUUAUAUUACAGUUUACAGAUAAUGAAUGUGGUAACGCAAGGUGCAUCUUAUUUCACGGCCUUGAAGGAUGAGGAUAAAGACUACGCGCCUCAUAGUCUCAGUAUACAAUGAAGUCGUUUGACGAGUUCGUUCACCCACUAUAUAUAUAUUAAUAUAUAUAUAUGGAUAUAAAAGUAACUUAACAUAAUCGUGGAUUAUUUAUUCAGCUUGCGACAAUAAUACUCUUCUGUGGUACAUGUUAUAUAGAGGGUGAAUAUAAAUUUGAUCAAUGAUUGUCAUCAGUUGUUAUGAUAGUUUCUAACAUGUAUUUAUACGCAUAUAAGCGGUAUUUUGUAUUUUUUUUUUUUUAUCAAUUAUCAUUUAAUAGUUUGGGAUUGGGUCAAGGUGAUACAAUUUAAAUGUUUUUAUUUAGAUUUAUUACUAUAUUAAGAAUUAAUUUGUU